rnacentral:rRNA from 1 species
CAAACCGGAUUAGAUACCCUUGUAUUCCACACCCUAAACUAUGCAGACUAGCUAUCGGGAGCAUCGACCCUUCCGGUGGUAAAGCUAACGCGUUAAGUUUGCCGCCUGGGAAGUACGGCCGCAAGGCUAAAACUCAAAGGAAUAGGCGGGAAUUCGCACAAGCAGUGGAUCAUGUGGUUCAAUUCGACUCUAAGCGAGAAACCUCACCAAGGCUUGACAUCCAGAUGCAAACCCUAGAAAUAGGGUCGCCUUCGAGGGUUCUGGACAGGUGCUGCACGGCUGUCGUCAGCUCGUCGCAUGAGCGGUUUCCUUAAGUGGAUUAACGAGCGCAACCCCCGUUGUCUGUUAUACGUGUCAGACGAGACUGCCUUCGUAAGGAGGAGGAAGGUGGGGAUGACGU